rnacentral:rRNA from 1 species
UAACCUGCCCAAGAGAUCGGGAUAACACCUGGAAACAGAUGCUAAUACCGGAUAACAACAGAUGAUGCCUAUCAACUGUUUAAAAGAUGGUUCUGCUAUCACUCUUGGAUGGACCUGCGGCGCAUUAGCUAGUUGGUAGGGUAACGGCCUACCAAGGCGAUGAUGCAUAGCCGAGUUGAGAGACUGAUCGGCCACAUUGGGACUGAGACACGGCCCAAACUCCUACGGGAGGCAGCAGCC